GGGUAGGACUGUUUCUCCGGAAAUGUGUCCCGCAGGCGAAUGUAUAUUCUCUUUACUUGUGUUUCAGUAACUACAACAUUUUCAAAUACUGGUGUUUACAACAACAUUAAGAUAAAUACCGGUGUUUACAAUAAUAUUUUGAUGUAGAGUGUCGAUUUUGAUUAAAAUGUCUCGAUUUAAAGAGCACAUAGAUAAAGUGAUUCGGGGUUAUGAGCGGUACACAGAGUAUGUAAGAAAAAACCCAACUGCAACAGCACAGGUAGAGAGCACGGUCCGGACCAUCUCCUACCUAAUCGCAGGAAGAUUUGCAGAUUCCCAUGAACUAUCUGAACUUGUCUACUCUGCUUCUAAUCUCCUGGUGCUGUUCAAUGACAGCAUUCUGCGCAAAGGGCUGAAGUGUGCCCUGACUGUGUCCAUCUCACAGCAGAGAAUCCUCACCUGGCUCUCAGUGUUGGAAUAUGUGGAGGUGUUCCUGGAGAUGGGCACCCAAAAGGUGUGCGGUGAAGUUGGCUGCUGGCUGGUCAUCGGACUCAUUCAAAUUCUGAAGGCUGUUUUGCGGCUUGUGCUUCUUUUGUGGUACAAAUCAGGAAUCCAGACUUCACCCCCCAUCCUUCCACUUGACAGAGGUGCAGAAAUAGGUGGCGAAGAUGAUGGUAAUGUGGAGCAGCAACAAGAAACCUGCUUUGUGGGCCAGAGGUCAGGACGUGUCAUCAGAUCACUAGGCCGUGCUCCCUUUGUGCAGCCUCUGCAGUGGGGAGCAGCCAGUAAGAAGAGGAGUCGAAACUUGAAGGAAGAGAAGGUCCACACAAAACCGACACCCUUGAGGCUACAGGAGACCAUCGCCGAGACUGUGUACAUCAGUCGACCUCUUGUACAUUCCCCACAGCAUGAUGCUGCUACCACCAUGCUUCGCAGUAGGGAUGGUGUUGGCCAGGUGAUGAGCAGUGCCUCUUCUUCUCCAGAUAUGACGCUUGCCAUUCAGGCCAAAAAGUCCUAUUUUGGUUUCAUCAGACCAGAGAAUUUUGUUUCUGCAGGUCUGUGAAUCCUGAAGGUGCCUUUUGGCAAACUCCAAGCGGGUUGCCAUGUGCCUUUCAGUGAGAAGUGGUUUCCAUACGGCCACUCUACCACAAAGGCCUGAUUGGUGGAGUGCGUUAUCAAUGGUUGACCUUGUGGAUGGUUCUCCUAUCUCCCUUGGUCAGACGGCCAGAUCUGGGAAGGGUCCCGGUAGUUACAAACUUCUUCCAUUUCCGAGUAAUCGAGACCUUCAAUGCUGCUGAAAUUCUUUUUAUUCAGCCUCGGACUGUGCGGAAAACUGUCCUGGAAGCCAUGGCUUGUCUCCGCAGGUCUAGAACUUUCCAG